UUCUGUAUCACGUUCCUCACAACUGUUUUAUUAUUCACCUUAACUAUUAGUACAUACACAGCACUGAUGGAUAAAGAUUCUACAGAAUACAGUACGGUUGUGAGUCCCCUUUCCUAACUGGAAGUUUUUCAGUCCUGCUAUGCGGUUAUACUUAUUUCCCAUGCUACUCAAGUUAAUUUACCAGAGUUGUAGAUAUUUGUCCAUUUAGGACCAUUUUCGGACUCCAUGCUAAAGGGUCAGAUAAUGAAGUGAAGGUCAAGGUGGUUGGAUUUUUGACUACAAGGCUAGUACAGUCUUGAGCAGCCUGAGUCUUGAGUGUUAGGGAAUAAUGACUAUAAGCCUGGAACUGCCCACCCUGCCCUGUACUUGCAGGAAUACAAGAAUGCAGGUCACCUUUCAACAAAACCUGGCUUUGUGGAUUAUGUAUGAAGUCAGUCUCUUCCUGGUACUUUCCUUUCAACCUCAUUAGUAAUCCCCUUCCCUCAUGCUAUUCACUCCAUGUAAUUCCUCAGCUUCAGAAAUAGACCCUAUGUUUAGAAUUUUUGGCAAAUGCUUUCUGGUUUCCACAGGUGGAAGCUGGAAAGCAGUCCCAAGUGUCAAUGGCAGAACACCGAUGCCUGAAUCCAGUUCCACCUUUCCUGUGUAUCCUCUUCCACUUACCUUACUUCCCCUUCAUGUUGAACCAACGUUAAUAGGUGCAAGGUAAGGAGGACUGGUUUGAAGCUGCUAGUAAAGGCUUCCUUUUCAGGCUAGAAGCUAGUAGGACAGAAAUGGGUACCAUGCAAAGAGCAAAGCCAUUAGCUGGUGAUUGGCAAAAUGGAGGCAGAAGGAAAUAAGGGAGUGUUGCUAAGAGUAUCAGCAGAAACUAGACAUACAGGUUUUAGCAAAAGUAUUUUGGCAAACGGACUAGAGGAAGCAGGGGUGAGGGAUGAAGGCAAAAGACACAUGAAUGCAUCUUCAAGGAGCUAAGACCUUGAUGUAGGAUGAGGGCAGAGAGAAAGGGAUGUCUUUGGAGAAACUUUUGAUGUCUUGCAGGCAUGAGAUGAGUUCAGAAGCAAUCAGUGCUGGAAGGAUAUGCAAAAUAAAAGUUAAGAGAAGCUAAGGAUAUAGAAGGCAUCCUGAAAGUAAAACAGCUGAGGGCCACAAAGCAUAUAAUGGAAAAUCUGUUAAGCUGGGGAGGUCAGGUAGGAGAGGAAAGAACAGUCCCUCCCAAGGGAGGUCAGUGGUAAAAGGAAGUGUGAAUGAAGUGAACAGAGAAUGCAGCUAGGCCUUCCCCUAGGAGAUAGCUACUGAGUGUCUUAUAAGCCAGACUAUUAAGAGGAAAGGGAAGUGUGAGGUCCAUUAGCCUUUUGUUGUGAACUAUGAGCAUAAACACAAACCAAGAAUGACAAUAACUUACAGGGCUAAAUUCUGGUUCUUCAAUAAUUCUAUUCCCUUUACCAACAAUUGAUUCAAAAAUAGACAUGUGGCUGGGCGCAGUGGCUCACACCUGUAAUCCCAGCACUUUGGGAAGCCAAGGUGGGCGGAUCAUGAGGUCAGGAGAUCGAGACCCUCCUGGCUAACACGGUGAAACCCCAUCUCUACUAAAAAUAUUUAAAAAUUACCCAGGCGUGGUGGCGGGCGCCUAUACUCCUGGCUACCUGGGAGGCUGAGGCAGAAGAAUGGUGUGAACCUGGGAGGCAGAGCUAGCAGUGAGCUCAUGCUACUGCACUCUGGCCUGGGUGACAGAGUGAGACUCCAUCUCAAAAAAAAAAAAAAGAAAAAUCCAGGUGAGAGACCAUGGUGGACUGGACAUAAAGACCAAUGGUCACCCAGGCUGGAGUACAAGCAAGACUCCGUCUCAAAAAAAAAAAAAAAAAAAUUUCAAAAAUACAAAAUUAGCAGGGCAUGGUGGUACAUGCCUGUAAUCCCAGCUACUCGGGAGGCUGACACAGGAGAAUCGCUUGAGCCCGGGAGGCGGAGGUUGCGGUGAGCAGAGAUCACGCCAUUGCACUCCAGCCUGGGCAACAAGAGCGAAACUAUCUCAAAAAAAAAAAAAAAAAAAAAGAAGAA
ensembl:lncRNA